AGCCAUGCAUGCUUUCGAAUAAGAGGAAGCAAUUCUCUCUGAAUCUGCGAACGGCUCCGCACACCAGUUGUAAACUAUAGCAAGCAUGCUCGGUGUCCGGCCUUCACGGGCUGGGUGUCGGGCGAUAAGGAUAACCCUGGUAAUUCUGAGGCUAAUACAAGACCGUAAUCCCUCGCUGACUGGGUAACUGGGAGGCUGGGGGACGUGUGGUUUGGUCGCAAGGAUGACCGGGAAAGGAUGCACGUUCUGACCGCGAUAAAAACGGAUCACUUNGGUGGCCCGAGCGGCUCUUGCGAUGUGCUUCUGACCUAUCAACUAGAUGGCAGCGUAACGGACAUGCUAUGGUUGCAACGGGUACAGAGGAUUAGGGUUCGAUCCUGGAGAGUGGGCCUGAGAGAUUGCUCAUACUUCUAAGGAAGGCAGCAGGCGCGCAACGUUCCCCUUGGACAAUGUUCGAGGGCGUUAGGGGACAUAUGAAUGCUUGCCAUUGGUAGGCAAUUCAAAUGGGUCUGUUCUAAACAGCCUCUCGAGUAACAAUUAGAGGACAAGUUUGGUGCCAGCACCCGCGCGAAAACCAACUGGAAUCCGCGGGAAAAGUGUGUGUGAACCACAUGCUAAUCGAGCCCCCCUUACGGGGGACUUGGCAACAUCGUCAAAUUGUCGGGAAGUCCCUAAGAGCCUCCCCCCACCAAGCCUUGUUGCGAAAGCUUCAGGGUGGUGCAGGUAAUGACUCGCAGUAUGGUAACAGCGGGGGGGGAUAACGAGCUGCCUAUCACUAGGUGGUUCUGCAAUGGGUAAUCCGCAGCCAAGCUCUAACCUGAAGCCGUGGUCUAAAAUGGUGGGCCACACCGCUUAAGUAUGAGUGCAGUUCAGAGACUAGAUGUCGGUGGGGGGUGAAACAGCCGGUGACUGCACGGUUCUCGUGUGAGUCAAAGAUCCCUAGGGGUCUAGUUGUGGGUCUCCAUAAGGUAUAGUCCGCCCCUUUGCGAAAGCCUUGGGAUAUCGUGAUUUUGCAUAUAACUGAAAGGGAACGUGGCCGUUGUUUUACAUAACGAAAAAAUCAGUCUAAAUCAAAUAGCCCACGAUGACUGGAAAGACUUUUUGGACUAUCGCGAAACAAGGGCGUCGGGAGGCAGCAACGCUUCUCGCACGGCUGAUUGUCGUAUACGUUCAAGAUCUCGAAGUGGAUGAAACAUACUGCCUUGGUAGUCAUACGGACCGCCAGGGUGUGACUCAUACCUACCUGAUAGGCGAAAAUGGGUCAACACUAGGCAACAUGUACAGCACGAAGGCAUAUCGGCUGUUUCUGAUAGUCAACACACUAGCCGUUCAAUUCGGGGCCGAACUGUUAAGUAUCUAUAACGGGGCUACGCUAAAGUGCUCAAGGGAACUCUACGCGGAGCUUUUGAGCUUUGAGACGGUGGACUUUGAGGUGGUGCAACAAGCUAGGCAUCUGUGUUAUUAUGAUUCGAAGACUCCUUUCCCGUGUUGUGACGUGAGACACAUGGUUUGGGGGUCCCAGUCUCAGAAUGAAUACGACAAAGCAUUCCAAGCUUUCCUGGCGCACCCCGACGAGACUAUUAGUCAAGGAGCCUGUGCGGAUAUCUUACGAGACGACACCUGGUUUGGCAGGGCUUAUGUACAACAUGUUGGACCUCAUACAAUAGAUAACAUCCAAGCCCUUUUUAUGUAACUAUGUAAAUAAAUAUCGCGAUGGUAAUUCCAGCUCUAAUAGCGUACGUUAAAGUUGUUGCGGUUAAAACGCUCGUAGUCGGCUUCAGAUCGUCACGAAGCCGGAACGGGCCGGUCGGAUUGUCGCCUCAAGGCGCGCCGGCUGGUCUGUGACGGUUGACGGCGGUCAAACGUGCCUCAGGCUGUCCUUCGGGUCACAGGGUUGGUGCUUGCAUCAGCUCGGCUUGGGGUGCCACUUACCAUGACUAAACCGGACCGAUUAAGAGAGGUCUCUCGAUCUUGUACGGCUCAGCAUGGGAUAAUUAACACUGGUCCGGGGCUACUUGCGGGCCCCGGGUUGGUAAAAGCAAAAGGGGUGUUCGAGGGGGACCGAAUUUCCGGGCGAGUGGUGAAAUACGUUGACCCUGGAAAGUCGACCAAAGGCGAAAGCAGUCCUCAAGGGCAUUCCCGUUGAUCAAGAGCGAAAGUUAAGGGUUCGAAGACGAUCAGAUACCGUCGUAGUCUUAACUAUAAAUGAUACUGACCAGAGAUAGGAUUCUGUCCAUCUCGACUUCUCCUGGAUCUUAGGGAAACUAGAGUCUUUGAGUUCUGGGGGGAGUAUGGUCGCAAGGCUGAAACUUAAAGGAAUUGACGGAAGGGCACACAAAGAGUGGAACCUGCGGCUUAAUUUGACUCAACACGGGAAAACUCACCAGGUCCAGAUACACGUAUGAAAGACAAGCUGAAAGACUUUUCUCAAUGAUGUAAGUGGUGGUGCAUGGUCNUUCGUAGUUCGUGGAUUGAUUUGUCUGGUCUAUUCCGAUAACGAGCGAGACCCCGGCGUUCCUAAUAGGGGCGGCAGCCCGGCUCGCCGCAAGGCUUGCUAGCAGCCGCUUAAGAUUUACUUCUUAGACGUAUCAGAGCCGAUAAGGUUCUUGAAAUGGGUUAAUAACAGGUCAGUCAUGCCCUUAGAUGUUCUGGGCCGCACGCGCGUUACAAUGGCACGUAUAGAAAGUGCCUACUAAAGGGCGUAUCCGGGGCCUAACGGUCCCGGUAACCCUUAGUCCCUGCCUUGACUGGGACAGACUAUUGCAAUUAUUGGUCUCAAACGAGGAAUUUUUAGUAGUCGCAGGUCAUUAACCUGCGACGAAUGCGUCCCUGCCCUGCCCUGAAGCAGCCGGUGACCGUGUCAACUUGACUCCGACGGNAGGCAAAGAUACGGGAAUCGGCCGUAAAGGGGCUAAAAGGAGCCAGGCAACUGGAUCCUAGUCCGACCCUGCCCCGUAACACGGGUGGGGGCUCCCCGAAACGACGGGGACUAGCGGGCGACACUAGCAAAAUAGCGGGAAGUACCUAAAAAGCACGGGAUACCAAGUUCACGCCUUGAAAAGGGCUGGAUGGCUCUGGAGAGAUACCAGAGGUACGGUAACAAUGCCCGUAGCAUCAGGUGUAACCUGCGGCCAACCCCGUAAAUCCUCGGGUCAUCCAACUACCCCUCCUAGCGGGGGGUGACCGGGUGGCUCAGGGACAGGGUGCAGCCCACGGACCAAAUGUUAGUGGGUGAUUCCUGGAUUCUUCGGGUCCGGGGGUUGCUUAAGAUAUGGUCGCCCGACCCCGCUCAGGGGUUGUAAAUCUACCGAGCAAUGUUGGCCAUAGCGAAACCCAUCGGAUAAACAAGGUAGCUCCCAUCAUCGUUGUACACACCGCCCGUCGCUGCUACCGAUUGGGUUUUGCGGUUACGCGUUCCGAGACUAGGCGUCCUGUCUGCCUUCGGGUAGGUAGUAGCCUGGGAUAAGUUCCAAUUACCGCACGGUCUAGAGGAAGCAGAAGUCGUAACAAGGUAAUCGUAGGUGAACCUUGCG
rnacentral:rRNA from 1 species